GGAACUACCUAUUUCUACGGAACAACAGUUGGAAACGACUGCUAAUACCGUAUACGCCCUUCGGGGAAAGAUUUAUCGGAGAUAGAUGGGCCCGCGUUAGAUUAGCUAGUUGGUGAGGUAACGGCUCACCAAGGCGACGAUCUAUAGCUGGUCUGAGAGGAUGAUCAGCCACACUGGGACUGAGACACGGCCCAGACUCCUACGGGAGGCAGCAGUGGGGAAUAUUGGACAAUGGGCGCAAGUGAUCCAGCCAUGCCGCGUGAGUGAUGAAGGCCUUAGGGUUGUAAAGCUCUUUCAACGGUGAAGAUAAUGACGGUAACCGUAGAAGAAGCCCCGGCUAACUUCGUGCCAGCAGCCGCGGUAAUACGAAGGGGGCUAGCGUUGUUCGGAAUUACUGGGCGUAAAGCGCGCGUAGGGGAUUGGAAAGUUGGGGGUGAAAUCCCGGGGCUCAACCCCGAACUGCCUCCAAAACUAUCAGUCUAGAGUUCGAGAGAGGUGAGUGGAAUUCCAAGUGUAGAGGUGAAAUUCGUAGAUAUUUGGAGGAACACCAGUGGCGAAGGGGCUCACUGGCUUGAUACUGACGCUGAGGUGCGAAAGUGUGGGGAGCAAACAGGAUUAGAUACCCUGGUAGUCCACACCGUAAACGAUGAAUGCCAGACGUCGGGGGGCUUGCCUUCGGUGUCACACCUAACGGAUUAAGCAUUCCGCCUGGGGAGUACGGUCGCAAGAUUAAAACUCAAAGGAAUUGACGGGG
rnacentral:rRNA from 1 species